UCCAAAAAAGUUCCAUGCAGUCUGAAAACACCUUAUGUAAAUGUGUGUCUAUAUCGAUUUGAAGGAUUUGAAAUAUUUGAAAUAUUCUGUUUAAAUUGUCUUUUGCCCUCGACAGAAGUUUGGUUCUCCAUUUUCCUAAUAGUUUGGAUAGGACAAACUUUUCAUGCCAUACUAUCAGCAUUACAGCUUUAAAGAAAACCUGCAGCCUGGUUGGUCUGAAUUGAACGUGAGCUGACUGCAGCUCUGUCUAACUGAUCAGAGCAAAGGAUGAAUAAUCGUCAGUUUUGCACAUGGCGCUUUAAGCUUGGAACAGCAAACGAACAAAUGCUACAUUCACACAUCGGGAAUGAUUUUGGACAAUGGCAACACCGUAACCAGGAAGUCGCCAAUCGUCACCAUGUUGUUUUGUUUUUUCAAACAUCAUAAUCAUUCAUCAUCAACGCUGUCACCCCUCGCCAUCAUCAUGUGCUGCUGAACUUGAAGUAGGUGCAAAAGAACAAAAAAAAAGUUUUGUACAGAAAUCUAUUUUUUAUGGAGAAUUUGUAAAAAACAAAAACAAAUUAUUAAACAUGCUGUACUUUUUAUGAUAAAUGAUGUAGGUACUACAAAAUCUUGUUCAUGAAAGUUAUGUUUUCACUGUUACACACCAUGUAAAAAUCGAUGGUUCAAACUGAGUAUUUAAUAUCAAAUGUCAUAUAAUCUCUUUUGUCCAUUACGGCUGCUUUUACACCGGAACAAGAAAACUGCUUUGACCCCGAGAUAAUGUGUGGAGACAUUAUUUCUGGCUCACAGCUGUUCAAUAUCUAAAACACUUCAGUCUUUAAAACACUCUGUCAGCUCCAACUCUUCUACACCUUUGGGCUUGAAGAUGCAGUGCCAAUACAUAUUAUUUAUAACGUACGAUGCAUUGAAUCACUUUGACUUUAAUGCAGCAGCUGUGCCAUAGGAGGUGCCUGCGUUUGUUGAUAUCUCACAUGAAAGCAUCCUUAAGGUUAAGGAUAAACUCAUACUUUACAAACCAGAUGUUUAGUGUCUUAAUGUCAUCAACAGCACUCACAGGUGAGUUGAGACUGACACGUCCUUUUUAAAGACGGUGUUCUUGUGUAACAGCAGCCGUGUGUGGCUAACCCUAAAGUCUGUGUCUGGGAGAGGGAUGACUUCCACAGGCACAAACGAUUUGAAAUGACUUGACCCCUUUAAGGCCCAAAAUCUGAGCUGGUGUACGUCUGAAGGAGGAGGAGCAGACUCCUCCUUCAGACGUUAUGAGUUUAGAGUGGAAAAUGACAUUGUGGUAAAUUUAGGCUCUAGUAGCAGCAUUUGCAAAUUGGCAACAGUAUUUUGGAGCUAAUAUGUUGACUGGGAAAACAUGACUGGUACCUUUUUGAAUUUAAGGGAUGGAAAAAGACAUUUUUCUGUCCGAAGACAUCAUGGAAGUGGAACACCAUGAGGUGUUGUCAAGUGUCGGACAACUGAUACUGUACGUGAAAACAGCUUCACAACCUGCUGUCAAAGAGACUCACUGUCUAUCUAUUAGAUAUUUUGAAAACAUUAUUUGAGAAUAAAGUUUUUGAUACAAUAA